UAUGAUCAUUUUUAAUCAAGGUGGAGUUUGUUGGGAUUUUGCUUAAAAAUGAGAAUGGUCAUUGUCCCACAUUGGAAAAAUGUUGAAGAGUAGCUUGGAGGCUUGUCUAUAUAAGGGGACUUAAGUUAUGUUUUCAAAUGUAUCAAACCAAAUGUAUUUCUAACACUUUUGUUAGGAGAAAGUACUAAGGUUUAUGUGAUUGUAAGAAUUUUUCACAUAGUGGUCAGUUGUUGUCUUUUGACAACGGUUGUGGUUUUUCCCGGUGAAAGUACUAAGGUUUAUGUGAUUGUAAGAAUUUUUUACAUAGUGGUCGGUUGUUGUCUUUUGACAACGGUUGUGGUUUUUUCCCGGUUUUGGGUUUUCACGUUAA
rnacentral:lncRNA from 1 species